UACAGAGACCUCAAGCGUUAUCCGGAAUCAUUGGGCGUAAAGCGUACCGAUAGGUGGUUAUACAAGUCAGAAGUGAAAUCUCCGAGCUCAACUCGGAAUCUGUCUUUUGAAACUGUAUGACUAGAGGGGCAAAGAGGAAGCUGGAACGAACGGUGUAGUAGUGAAAUGCGUUGAUAUCGUUCGGAACACCAAUAGCGAAGGCGGGCUUCUGGGUGCCACCUGACACUGCUAGGACGAAAGCGUGGGGAGCGAAUGGG
rnacentral:rRNA from 1 species